rnacentral:rRNA from 1 species
UACGUAGGGCGCAAGCGUUGUCCGGAAUUAUUGGGCGUAAAGAGCUCGUAGGCGGUCUGUUACGUCCGCUGUGAAAACCCAGGGCUUAACCCUAGGCUUGCAGUGGAUACGGGUAGACUAGAGGCAGGUAGGGGAGAAUGGAAUUCCCGGUGUAGCGGUGAAAUGCGCAGAUAUCGGGAGGAACACCGGUGGCGAAGGCGGUUCUCUGGGCCUGACCUGACGCUGAGGAGCGAAAGCGUGGGGAGCGAACAGG